rnacentral:rRNA from 1 species
GAUGAACGCUGGCGGCGUGCUUAACACAUGCAAGUCGAACGGUGAAGCAGGAGCUUGCUCUUGUGGAUCAGUGGCGAACGGGUGAGUAACACGUGAGCAACCUGCCCCUGACUCUGGGAUAAGAGCUGGAAACGGCGUCUAAUACUGGAUAUGUGAUGUGACCGCAUGGUCUGCAUCUGGAAAGAAUUUGGGUUGGGGAUGGGCUCGCGGCCUAUCAGCUUGUUGGUGAGGUAAUGGCUCACCAAGGCGUCGACGGGAAGCCGGCCUGAGAGGGUGACCGGCCACACUGGAACUGAGACACGGCCCAGACUCCUACGGGAGGCAGCAGUGGGGAGUAUUGCACAAUGGGCGGAAGCCUGAUGCAGCAACGCCGCGUGAGGGAUGACGGCCUUCGGGUUGUAAACCUCUUUUAGCAGGGAAGAAGCGAAAGUGACGGUACCUGCAGAAAAAGCACCGGCUAACUACGUGCCAGCAGCCGCCGCCG